rnacentral:rRNA from 1 species
AUUGAACGCUGGCGGCAGGCCUAACACAUGCAAGUCGAGCGAGCGGCGGACGGGUGAGUAAUGUAUGGGGACCUGCCCGGUAGCGGGGGAUAACUACUGGCAACGGUGGCUAAUACCGCAUACUAUUGGAUGAACCCAUAUGGGAUUAGCUAGUUGGUGGGGUAAAGGCUCACCAAGGCGACGAUCCGUAGCUGGUCUGAGAGGAUGACCAGCCACACUGGGACUGAGACACGGCCCAGACUCCUACGGGAGGCAGCAGUGGGGAAUAUUGGACAAGGGGCGAAAGCCUGAUGCAGCCAUGCCGCGUGUAUGAAGAAGGCCUUAGGGUUGUAAAGUACUUUUGGCGGAGAAGCGUUAUCCGCAGAAUAAGCACCGGCUAACUCCGUGCCAGCAGCCGCGGUAAUUC